CUUGGUUCUCAGUUAAGAGAGGAGCAGUGGCCAGUGUUGGGUUUAGCCUGUGCUGCGCUGGUGGACCAAUACCUACAAGCACACUUGGGAAAUGGGGGACCUAAUGAGGACACAACUGGCAGCAGCCAGUGAAGUUCAGUGCCAGCAAGACUGCAGCCAGCGCAUACCAACCCCACCGGGACAGUGCAACAGGCAAGAUUAGCAUGGUGCCAUCAGCAGCCAGAAAAGCCUUUGGUUAAGGUGAUGGAGAGGGAUUCAAUGAAUACAUGCUUAGUGCUCCAGGAAAACAAGGAUCUUAUGAAUGUAACUGUGCUUUUCAGUACUGUAGUCAGUAGUGAGGAAGGAAGCGUAGAAAUAUCUCAUGCAGAGAUACUUCAGUUGAAGCAUGAACUCUGUGCUAUGCCGGCAAGUCUGAGAACAGUCAGAAUGCUUUGACCUGGACACUGGAGGAAAAAAACUGAUAUUUUUGUUUCAGGGUCAUGGUGUCAGCACUGGGAGUUUUCGAAGAUCCCUGCCACAUUGUAAGAAAUUUUACAAGAGCAACAAAAAUCCCUUGACUAAACUGUGCUGAAAUAACCCCAAGAGCAUCAAACUCCUCACACUGGAGAAUAAAAUGCCUUUGCACAUUCUUUGCUUUGAAAUGUGAAGAACUGUCUGUAGAUCUGGUGUGUUUUUCUUACAAGAGGCAGCGCAGCAGGGAAAGACAGACUACUGUAUGAUGGAAAAGCUUUGCCAAAAAUGUCUUGUUAAAAAUACAGAGAUUUGACACUCUUCCUUCUUUCUUAAACCUUUAUAUUCCCCUGCUCGUGACACUUUAACAAAGUGACUGUUCUGUACAGAUUGACGUUUCCAUUUAUUUCCUCAAUCAUCUUUCUCUGAUUUAUUUCCCAAUGUAACGUUUGUAACUUCUAUUUCUGAUAAGAAAGACCAUCCUUUCCUCUUGCUUACUCGCUUGUAUUACAGCUGCAUGAAAGAUGUCUACCAGGUGAUUUACUGCCAAGUUUGGGGAAAGAUUUGUAUCGGAAGGUCCCUCCAUUCAGCUGUAAUUUAGAGCCAUUUCUUCAAUUCCCUAGAAAGUUAACUUCUGUGAGCUUCCCCCCUUUGUACCCAGCCCAGAAAAUAAAUACGCAUAAUCUUCAGAGUAGAUUCCAAUCAACAUAUGGGCAAACAUGAAGAGAGUGAUUGGAAAUUGAAAGCGGCCAUUUGCCAUAUAUCAAGAAGGUAUUUAGGAUAUAUUGUCUUUCCUUAUGGGAUGUGAAGGGAGCUGUAGGCAAAACUCACGUAUGGAGCGCUCUCACCGGAAGGAACAGAUUAUCAGAGGAAGAAAUCCUUUAGACAAUGCCUAAGAUGGAGCAGCACAGAGUUUUUUCUGCAGAGACUUCAUAACCCAGGUGAACUAUAAUCUUACCCUUUUUUCCUGUUUUUCCCUCUCCCCACAUUCUCCAUUGAGACUGACAACACUGAGGAAUUUUUCUGCUUUGAAAAGAGGAGAGGAAAAGGAGGGGAAGAUAAACAACCUAAGGCCUAAUUUUCAUUACCCUGAUAGCACACACCAACAUCAGUGGGACUAACUGGUGUUAGCUCCUGCUCAAAGGCGUCUGUACACUCCUUCAUAGCCAAAAGCAGAAAUCUAAUGGCAACUGGAUUCAGCCCCUCCCUCCCCUCCUCCCCCCCAAAAAAUAACAGUUUCAUAGUUAAAGAUCAAUCUGAUUUGUCUGUUCUGAGGAAAUUUAUAUUUUAUAUAAAUUGGUAUUUCCCAGAUUUAAUACUUCAUUUUCCCCCUUCCUUUUCAUUUCCUUUAAGUUGCAGAAAAAUGGGGACUUCCAAAUGAAGAGAGAACAACCCUCACAUCUCUGCAGGGCUGCCUUCAUUCUCUGUAGAGAGAGAGAGGUGUUGUAGCUAUAAUCCAGGACAGUUUGAUUGACCAAGUUUCUAAACAAAUGGUGCUGGUUACGUGAAAACAGGGUUUUUAUUAUGGUGGCUUUCUGAAGGCACAAAGCAGAUGUGUGGUUGAAGAUGACCUGCAAGACUUCUUUUUUUUUUUAAUUGAGGUUGGCCUUAGUAUUCUUCUUUAUAAUGAAAACCUGAAGUGUUUUCUUUUUGUGUAUUUGUUUUAUAUUAAAAAAAAAGUAUAUGUCUUUUAUCU
rnacentral:lncRNA from 7 species